UGGGAUAGCUCAGUCGGUAGAGCAUGAGACUUAUCUCAGUGUCAUGGGUUUGAGCCCCCCACGUUAGGGAAAAA